AAGGGAAAGACGCGCGGCAGCGACGGGUGAGCACGGCCCGGAGGCGGAGGGGUACUGAGGGGCAGGGGCCGCGUUUCUUCACUAUUGCUCUGGUAGUGUUUGGAACAAGGCCAGAAACAAGAUCACUCUACUGGUAAAGUGCACAAAUGAAAACUUGGUUUCAGGCUCACAAGGGAUUUUUGCACAGCCGUGGAUCUUCAUGGAAAAUUGGGAUGAUGGUGGCUUGGAAGUGGAAGCUGUGAAGAUACAGUGAAGGUAAUGGAUGUAGUCAACUCCCUCCUCAGCAUAUUCUUCUGCCUUUAUGGAUACUGAUUCAGCUCAUCAUUUUGAAGAAGUGUUGGUUUCACCAUAUUUGUCUUUUGUGCGUCUUACAUGA